rnacentral:rRNA from 1 species
UACGGAGGGUGCAAGCGUUGUCCGGAUUUAUUGGGUUUAAAGGGUGCGUAGGUGGCCCCGCAAGUCCGUGGUGAAAGCCUGCUGCUUAACAGCAGAACUGCCAUGGAUACUACGGGGCUUGAGUCCAGACGAGGUUGGCGGAAUAGAAGGUGUAGCGGUGAAAUGCAUAGAUACCUUCUAGAACCCCGAUUGCGUAGGCAGCUGACUAGGCUGGUACUGACACUGAGGCACGAAAGCGUGGGGAGCAAACAGG